rnacentral:rRNA from 1 species
GACGAACGCUGGCGGCGUGCCUAAUACAUGCAAGUCGAGCGGAUUUUCGGAAGCUUGCUUCCGAAAAUUAGCGGCGGACGGGUGAGUAACACGUGGGCAACCUGCCUGUAAGACCGGGAUAACUUCGGGAAACCGGAGCUAAUACCGGAUACAUUCUUCCCUCGCAUGAGGGAAGAUGGAAAGUCGGUUUUGCUGUCACUUACAGAUGGGCCCGCGGCGCAGUAGCUAGUUGGUGGGGGAAUGGCCCACCAAGGCGACGAUGCGUAGCCGACCUGGGAGGGUGAUCGGCCACACUGGGACUGAGACACGGCCCAGACUCCUACGGGAGGCAGCAGUAGGGAAUCUUCCGCAAUGGACGAAAGUCUGACGGAGCAACGCCGCGUGAGCGAAGAAGGCCUUCGGGUCGUAAAGCUCUGUUGUCAGGGAAGAACAAGUACCAUAGUAACUGAUGGUACCUUGACGGUACCUGACCAGAAAGCCACGGCUAACUACGUGCCAGCAGCCGCCGCCGUAA